rnacentral:sRNA from 2 species
CGGUGGCCGCCGCCUAAUCGCCCACCGCGGCGAACCGGGGAACCACAGUCCGUGGGGUGUAUCCGCUUCAGCGGUAGGGAUCUUCCGUCCCGAACCCGUCAGCUAACCCGGUCGGCGGCUGACGGAAGGACAC